rnacentral:rRNA from 1 species
UACGAAGGGGGCUAGCGUUGUUCGGAAUUACUGGGCGUAAAGCGCACGUAGGCGGACAUUUAAGUCAGGGGUGAAAUCCCAGAGCUCAACUCUGGAACUGCCUUUGAUACUGGGUGACUAGAGUAUGGAAGAGGUGAGUGGAAUUCCGAGUGUAGAGGUGAAAUUCGUAGAUAUUCGGAGGAACACCAGUGGCGAAGGCGGCUCACUGGUCCAUUACUGACGCUGAGGUGCGAAAGCGUGGGGAGCAAACAGG